AUUCCUCCUUCCUGAUGAACCGUAAUGCCAGUUAAUUUGGUGUUGCGGGGAAACUGGACUGUUACUUUGAAAAAAUUAGAGUGUUUAAAGCAAGCUAACGCUUGAAUACAUUAGCAUGGAAUAAUGAAAUAGGACGUUCGAUCCUAUUUUGUUAGGUUUCUAGGAUUGACGUAAUGAUUAAUAGGGAUAGUUGGGGGCAUUAGUAUUCAAUUGUCAGAGGUGAAAUUCUUGGAUUUAUUGAAGACUAACUACUGCGAAAGCAUUUGCCAAGGAUGUUUUCAUUAAUCAAGAACGAAAGUUAGGGGGAUCGAAGACGAUCAGAUACCGUCGUAGUCUUAACCAUAAACUAUGCCGACUAGGGAUCGGAUGAUGUUAAUUUUAUAAUGACUCAUUCGGCGCCUUACG
rnacentral:rRNA from 1 species